GGGGACGUGGUGUAGCGGUUAACAUACUGCCCUGUCAAGGCAGAGAUCGCGGGUUCGAACCCCGUCGUCCCCG
rnacentral:tRNA from 1 species